UCCAAGUACACGCAGAUUCUCGAGUUGGA
rnacentral:piRNA from 1 species